GACGAACGCUGGCGGCGUGCUUAACACAUGCAAGUCGAACGGAAAGGCCUGCUUUCCCUUGUGGAUUGCGGGUACUCGAGUGGCGAACGGGUGAGUAACACGUGAGUGAUCUGCCCCCAACUUGGGUAUAAGCCUGGGAAACUGGGUCUAAUUCCCGAUAGGACUGCAGGGUGGUGCCUGUGGUGGAAAACGAUUUUCUAGUGGUUGGGGAUGAGCUCGCGGCCUAUCAGCUUGUUGGUGGGGUAAUGGCCUACCAAGGCGGCGACGGGUAGCCGGCCUGGGAGGGGUGACCGGCACAUUGGGACUGAGAUACGGCCCAGAAUCCUACGGGAGGCAGCAGUGGGGAAUAUUGCACAAUGGGCGGAAGCCUGAUGCAGCGACGCCGCGUGGGGGAUGACGGCCUUCGGGUUGUAAACUCCUUUCGACCGCGAGGAAGCCACCUGGUUGGAAGGGUGGUGACGGUAGUGGUAGAAGAAGCACCGGCUAACUACGUG
rnacentral:rRNA from 1 species